UCUAACGUUCGUUUUAUUCAGCUAGCUAUCUGUAACUCUUACAUGGUUGUCUACUGAAGCCAAGCAGGGCUAACCCAGGUCACAAUCUGAAUGGGAGACCACAUGGGAAAGCUAGGUUACUGCCAGAA
rnacentral:rRNA from 1 species